rnacentral:snoRNA from 1 species
GCACAGGUUUGGAUUUAUGGCAGGCUUUUCACUCUGGGCUUCUCAUAGUGUCCCAUGGUAGAGCAAACUAGUCACUGAAACAGGCCACACAAUG